GUGCUUGCUUUCACAGCACAUACACUAAAAUUGGAACAAUACAGAGAAUAUUAGCAUGGCCCCUGCACAAGUAUGACAUACAAAUUAGUGAAGUGUUCCAUAUUUUU
rnacentral:snRNA from 1 species